AGCAACGUUAAUUCAAUUUAUUUUUUUAAAAGAAGAAACACCUGAAAACACUGUAAGUGAAGAUGGGGUACAGAGGCUGUGAAAGAGAAUCUUGACAGCCUUGUAACAAGUGACACACGUUAACAUGGAGGAGGAAAUACUUAAACUUCAUUGUGCUGCUUUGACUUGUUUCCUAAACUGUUGGCCAUCUUGAUUAAUUUUCAACAUUUCUCAGCAUGUGCCCUCAUCCUCAGCCUGCAGCUGAGAACAUUGCCUCUGGAAAUGGGUUCUGCAGAGCAUGUGCCAGUGCUUUCUCUCUCAACUCACAACUCAUCAGUUGCUCACAGAUGUCACUUGGCAUCAGCUGCAGACAUGAUCCUCACUGCAGCCCUCACUGAAGCUGUCUUUAAACCUGCUCCCGUGGAUGAAGGUGUCAUUUUGAUCUCCUAUGCUGCAUCCGUUUUCCUCCUUUCCCACAUCCAUCUCCACCAAAGCAUGGCACACCUAUUCUGUGCAGGUCUGUCUCAAAUCACUCUUACAGUGUUUUAGCGUGGGUUUUUUUGAAGGAAUAUGUCUUUCCAUUAAUGUUAUGAUCAGGGUGCAGCAGCUCCAGCUAGCUGGAAUCACUCUGAUAUGAGAAAGAGGAGCUCAGGAGACAAAAUGGGCUGAGCUUCAUCUCAGUCCCUUGCCUUUAACUGUGUUUACCAAAGAAGUUUACAUUACAGUAAAAUCUUGCUAAUCAUAAUCCAUUGGUGAGUGAGAGCAAUACUGCCAGCAGAUGAUGUGAGCCAGCUGUGUGCAGCCUGCAUGGUGACACCCAUGGCCACUGUGGGAUGUGGAGGCGAUUUCUGGGUGUGUUCUCACUGAUGGAGUGGGAACACAGUGGGGCUGCAGCACAUGACCUAGUCCAACCUUAGGACCCCAGCAGCACCAGCUCCCACUCUUCCCUAACAUUGACAGUGGGAGUAACAAACCUGAUGCUGUCUGAGAUUGAGGAGCAUUUGGCUGGCUCCAGCAGAGAUGGCCAACUGGUUCUGAAUCUCCCGAGUACCCUGGUGGACUAUGUCAUGAAGAUGGAGCUCUAGGGAAGAGGCUUCCUGAGGAACCUGCAGUGGCUUGAGGAGGGUAAUCCUGAGCUGGAUGAUGACAAGAGUAUGGCUUGCACCAACCAGGCUGUCUACAUCUCCAAAGCUAGGAAUUUCCACAUAGAGUGUGAAACACUGGAAUGUGGCACUGGCUAACUGAACAGCAUCUUUGUACUGGACCAGGAGAUGUGAGGUCAGAAUUUUUCCAGUGUGGAGGAAGUCUUCCUUUUCCAGUGUCCAUGUGCUCUGUUUUUGUCUCAUUCUUCUUUCUACAUGCAUCAUAUGGCAAACCAGGGCUUUGCAAUGAUCAUUUGUGUUGUACAGAAAGCAGUAUUUGAGAGUGUAAGUAGUUCCCUACGAGCCGUAUCUGUGACAUGAACAUUUGUUGCACAGAAAUCUGUAACAACCUUUCUCGCAGCAGGUAGGAAACUUUCAGUCACAAGCAGAUCACUGAAGCAUUCUUUGGUCAUCUAAAAUGCUUUCCUUUGGUGUUCUUGACCAACAUCUCAGUAAGUAUCCACCAGGUAUAUGACCUUUGCUUUAUUUGCAACUAUAGCAAAGACAGUUACUUCUGUGUCUGUACUGAGAGACAAGAAAAGCAUGAGACAAACAUUGAAAAUACCUGUAAAAGUGUGAUAAUUUCACUGAAUUGCAGUAUCACAAAAUGGUUUAGGUUGGUUGCAGGUCUUCUGGUCCAACUCCCCUGCUCAAGCAGGGCUAUGUUAAGCCUGUUGCCCAGGACCAUAUCCAGAUGGCUUUUAAAUCUCUCAGAGGAAAGAGAUUCUACAGCCUUCCUGAGCAACCUGUUACACAAAGAAAAACUGUUUCCUGAUAUUCAGAGUGAACCUCCUGUGUUUCAAUUUGUUCUUACUGUCUCUUGUCUUGCCAUUGAAAAGAGUCUAAUUCUAUCAUCUUUUCACUUUCCCUUCAGAUACUAUACAACCCAGCAUGCACACGCAUAAAUGCAGAGCUAACUAUGAAAAUGUACGUGUCUAAUAAACAGAGUGAAGUCAGUGGAUAUAACAAUCAGUGGGGUGUAAAACAGUGGAUUAUUCCAGGAGAUGCUAAAGCAAAUAGAAGCCUCCUAGAAAGUGUACUCUGCUUUCUCAGCUUCUCUUUUUUAGGGUGUGAGAGACUGAAAUGUGAUGGCUAAUGGCUCAAACAGUCAGACAUUUGCAAACGCAGGGGUGCUUUGCUGUCAAUGUGCAAAAUAAUGGCCCAUGUGCAGAGGGGGUGAGCACCAGAGGAUGACCAUGACAAAUCACAUUUUGUCUAGCAAAAUACUGGGUUUUGAGCCAGAUAAGGGAAGAGGCCAAUAAGAAGCAGAUUCUGCCAGGUGGAACAGUGCUUUUUAUCACGUCCUCCCUUACACAACUGGCUCAGGUAUGAAAAGUUCCCUCUGGAGAAGUACUAGGACAUUUACCCAUAGGCCUGAAGGCAUUCACCCCUCUUGAGGGGGCUUAACUGGCUAAAAACACUGAUGUGAGAGGCAGCUGCCAUGUCUUAGAAGGUGUCAUAAACCAUCAAAGAUCCCUGGAGCACCCACAGACUCAUUCCUUGGGGCCUUCCAGCAGAGGCCUGUCACAAUCCACAGUGGUGCAUCAGACAGGGUAAAACUCACCCCCCACAGAGGAGGUACAUGGGCAUUCCUACCUAUACUUGAACAUGUAUCAACCCACUGAGCUUUAUGUUUCACAGUCAUUCUCCUAUCCCCAAACUCUAUUGGAUCAAGACUGUGACCACUGUUUUGGCCAAGGGACAUCUAAGUUUUAACAAUCAAGUCUCAUCACUAGAUGCAUGAGGGGUAAUAUCUUUCUACUCUUACCCUUCUUUCCUUCCUCCCUUUCCCCUUUUCCUUUUCCUUUUCCUUUUCCUUUUCCUUUUCCUUUUCCUUUUCCUUUUCCUUUUCCUUUUCCUUUUCCUUUUCCUUUUCCUUUUCCUUUUCCUUUUCCUUUUCCUUUUCCUUUUCCUUUUCCUUUCUUUUUCUUUGUCUCUUUCUUCUCCCAACUUCUCAAAAUAUUGUAAGACAGAUUUUAAAAAGCUCCAGUCAAUUCCUUGUUGUGUGAGUAAGGUUAAAGUUGGUUACGUUUAAGUUUGCUGAGUUAAAGUUUGUGAAGUGCCUUACAUAGUCUGGAUGUUGUUUUAAAAUUUGCCAUUAUUCUACCUUAAUAGUCUAAAGUUUGCAAGUAAAAGUCUGUUAUUGAGCCCCCUGAGAAUUUGGUUGUUUUUCCCACAUAUCACCCAGAGUGAAUCAAACUACCUUUCCCUGAACCUGUUGAGGAAUAACAUAGGGUCUGUUGGGAAUCCUGAAAUUUAGUCUAAGGUCAUAGGUGGUUCCUACCCUAGACUACCUUAGUACUGAAGUUAGAGUGUGCCAAUAUGUGUAAACUGUGCUUUUGAGCUAAAAACUGCAGUGGUCAGACUUAAUUUCUUCUCCAACUUGGAAACUCUACCUCAUUCAAAGGUCAUUUACUCCUUACACAUGCAUUAGAGUCUUAGCCUUGAUGUACUGCAGCAUGCUGAUGCUUCCUGUGGGCUAACAGAUGUCACAGCUCUGACAGAAAAGAGGGAGAAAGGCUGAGAGGUAGAUUUUUUUUUUUUUUUUUUCAUUAUAAGAACAGGUACCCGUAAAACACCUCAGUUCACAAUCUUUUCAGCUAAAGUUUAAAUCUGUAUUUUGCCACCUACAUAUAUAUUCAUGUUCUAAAAAGGGUUGAGCACCCACAUCCAUCAAGACAUGCCAAUGCAGUACACUUUUAUAACAGAUUUUUACUACUGUAACUCAGUCCUUUUCCUCCAUUUCCAGCAUUGAUUACAUCUUUACUUGCCUGUAGAAGUGCUCUAAAAAGUCCAAGAAAGCCAUUUUAAAACAUUAAAGAAGUUAUGGAUCUGACCCUUCCUACCCCGAAUACUCUGUGCCUCUCACUGCUGUUUGAACAGAUUGCUGCUUUAGACACUCAGCUGCUGAUAUGCUCUUGGUAGCCUGUUACUGUCUGGUGUUUGAUCCUCCUACACGCCCUACUUGUGUCACAUCUGAUGUCUCUCUAAGAAGGGAUAUGCUUGGAUCCAGGUGCCCGCUGACAUAUUAAUUUUUAACCCUGGUGAGCCAUGACUCUGCACAAGGAACUCAGUUUGGUCUGUCUGUGAGAUUAAGACUGCUCAAGCAACUGACUCCUGUAAGUCAUGGAAUAUGACUGGUAACAUCUCUAGGCUAAUUAGCUCCAGAAAAUGAAAAGAUGAGUUUCAUUACUGCCAGGGAUAACCAUCCUCAUCAGCAGGAGAAACCUCUCAGUUAGGGAAAACCAGAAGUGGGGGCUCACAACACUCUGGGCAGUUUGAAACUCUUCAAGCACUGCUCUGCAGCAUCAGUGACACCCCAGGAAAUCCCUCAUAGAAAGGCUGCCCCUCAAGUCACUCCUACCAGCAUCCUCUUUGCACUUUCCCCAUGGCUGCAGACAUCAUCUCCCUUGCUGGGAUAUACAAGGUGCAAUGCUUUUUGAAUUAGGAAAUAUAUUCAAUUAUUGAAUUGAAUUGAUUUUUCCAGGGUGACUGAAGUUCCCAGUGCUGCUGGAAACCAAGCCUGUGGUAUCCUGGGGUGUGUCCUAGGAGCUGACUCCUGGGAGCACCCUCCAACCCAUGCAUGAUCAGAAGCUCUCUACAGUGCAAUCAAUUCUGUUGCAUGGUUUCAGAGGGUUUGUGAGGAGAUGCUUCUCUGUAAUGGGGCUCGCAUCCCUCAGUCAAAGGGAAUCGGGGAAUACAAGGGCACCUUUGUAUUUAGGGUGAAUUCAGGGACAUUGCUUAAGGCCACCAUCCUCUUGAGUCCAAUGGUCUGUGUAGGAAGUUAAUCAUUGAUUAGACAGCAGGCACAAUUCAAAGAAGUGAUGCAAAACAAGUCAGAGAAAGUGUGAUCAAAGCUGUACAUAGAAUGCAAUCACUCUCCACAAAUCCUUUAUCCCCACAGGACCUACCUAAGCUCUGCACACAAAGCUGACUUCUCAGGCCACACCUGCAGCAAAGACUGAGAAAUCUGAUAUUUUUCUGUAAAUUUCCAGACUGUGCUGGGGGUACAAACACACCACUUAUACCAGUCCCAACUGCAGAUCAUUCUGGGAGGGGAAUACUGAUUUCUUUCAAAAUUAAAUAAUGAAUCUGCCAUAUGAUGUCAACUCCUCAGGUUUCUACAAAUUUCAGAAUAGUGAACAUGAUGUUUUUAUAUUACAGUUAUCUAAGAAGCUUCUGCAUUUCAGUUUCAUCCCUUUUAGACUGUUUUAGGCAUUUUUUUUCUUCAGAGUUAGAACUCUGAAAAUGUUACUAUGCUAUCCAGUAGACCUCCCAAGCUGUGAGGAAAAAAAAUAUCCAGGCUUUGCUCUCAGCAAGAAUAUCCAGUUUAUAUUAUUAAAACUCAAGGCUCUUUGAAUUAAUCUCCAAAAUGUUUCAGUCAGCAGGACAAAAUUCUAGCAGUCUCGCAUCCCUCCAAUAUCAUUCAAAGUAAAGUUUUGGCUCAAGCAACUAGGAGGAUAAAAUCUUAAGUCUGGAUGAUAGAGCUGCCAGGAGAUACAUGUGUUUAAAAGUGCUUUUCCCACCACCUGCCUUUCACCGUUCCCUCCAUCUGCACAGAUUGACCUUGACUGGCAAAACACUCCAGCCUCGCUGUGUGCAGGCAGUGAUGUAGCACAGUACUUGUCACUUUCUGCUGCUCACGUGUGCUCUCACUGGGCAAACGCUUCCCCUCGUCUUGCCCCUAAAACCAGUACUUAGUACUCUGAUACUGGCAGACUUUCACAUGUCAGAGGAGACUGUGUAUCAGGACUCCAGGUACAGAAUCCCAUUACAGAUAGAUUGUUGUUUUACAGACCUCUCUGUUUCAUCAUUCAAGAAGAAAUUAAUGCAUUCACAGUGCACAUGACAGGAACAUGUUAGCAGAAUACUUUUCGUUGCUUGUCUUUUGAACUCCCAGCACUUCUCCUCAGGGAUGAUAAAGUUGAAGGAAAACACAAUCCAGUAUAAAUUUUGAAGUUUCCAUCACAAAAACACUGUCAGUCUUUGCAAUUACUAUGAAAAGGAAUUUAACUACUUCCUUCUUGCAAAAUAUCAUUUGCAAGGAAGCAAUAGAAUGUCACCAUUUGAGGGCAUAAAAGAGUGACUUUGUAACUCCUUUGCAUGUUACUUGCACUGUUGAAGUCUGUUUUCCAGAUCACAGUAUCUGAAACCAGACUGAUUUCUUCUGAAGGAAACUCCCGAAGGUGCUUGAGGAAGGAGUGAGGUAUUUCCAUUUCCAGUGGUGGUUACCCUGAGGCAUUUUCAUGGCAUGAGACAAUGGGGAUCUGAUGCUAACAAAACUGUCUUCUGAUUUCAAAAACUUUAUUUCUCCAGCUGAAAUUUAUGCAAGGGUAAAAUAUGCCUAUUCCUGUUUCUGGGAUAUUUCAUGCCAUAUCCAUGUAUAUGUGAAUCACAUGGAGCAAAGAAAACAUUUGACAGCAACAAGCUGGAAAGAAUAAAGUCCUAAUAAAAUAGGCAACCAGGGGGAUACCUCACAUGUAUGACAUUGAACAAAUGCUUUCAUGGCUUAGCCUUUUAAUUUUCCUCUCUACUUUUGCUUUUUUUUUUUUUUUUUUUUGCAUUGAAAAGUCUUCAAGCAGCUCCUUUCCAAUCUCUGUAGUUAUAUUUGUCUGAGAGACUUACAUGUGGCAGUGGUGUCAUUACAAGCACAAUACUGAGUGGGUAGUUUUAGUAAUAUACAGUUUCCAGUGAGCACAGAAGGUGGGGCAGAGAUCUCUAGGAAAGGUCUUGUAAACUUCCUGGUUAACUUCUCCAAAAAGUUAGUGAAUAUUUCUGUGAUGUAAAGCUGGGGCCUUUAGAACACAAGGAGGGACGUUUGGGCUAUGGGUAUUUAUUCCUCUUUGAAGUGCACUUUGAAAGGCGCUGAAGUACAUCCAAAUGAAGCAGACACCUUUGAAUUCUAGUCAGACCACUAGUACACUGUGUCUUUGUGACACCCCUCAGAGCAACAGGGCUGCACUGUUCAACAGCAGUGAUCAAAAAUAGCCACACAGCUCACAUAGGUCUGAGCUUCUGUCUUUGAAUGGUCCUACAUGACUUUCAAGAAUCUGUCAGUACAGAGUGGUUGCUAACUAAGAACCAGUCACUGUGCUCUCUUAGGUGAUAGAGGUAUCACCUGGUCUUGAAAACUGAAAAAAAACCCACUCAAUUUUUUAAGCACAACAACACACAUUUCCAUGGAUAUUUCAUUAAACACUAUUCAUUAAACAUACCUGUAGCUGACAGGUUCAACAAAUAACUAUAUUGGCCCUUGUAGGGAGAAUAGCUAUUAAAAUGGCGCAGGAGGUUACUGCCAACUUCUGUUGCAUCUGCUUUAACUGUUUUUUAUAUAAAUAACAAACUCUUUAGACCUUAGAAUCAAUAUUUCUUUUAUUUUUCAUUUGAAUGAAUGAUGUCUGAAGUCUCUCCAGGACCACAUAGGAAAAAAUUUGAUUGCUGUCUCCUUUGGGAUUAUUUUUGAGGAGAAGCUUUGCUGUGGAUCAGUAGGUCAAAAUUGAUGGAAAGGGUGAAAGGGGAGUAAGAAGUUGGCAUAGAUGAAGCAAAAAUGGCUAGAUUGUCUACUCAUCAUUUAACUUUAACCUUGCAAAGAUUUUGGAAGACAUUCUGUUUUUUUCUAGCUUCAUGAAGCAAAAAUAGAAAUUUCUCCAGUAACCAUGGAAACAUGGAAACAAUGAUUACUGGAAAUGAUCUCUACUUGUGCUAUCAUGCGAUGACACUAAAGUUAAGCCACACAUGCAUCCUCAGCAUUGCUGCCACAGCCGACAGGGAAUGAACCUCGCAAAAGUCCUCAAACAUCUGGAGCAGCUGGAGCCACUGCAGUUUUGGAAUAUUCUAAUUCCAGCUGUUGUUGGCUCAAGCGAUACCUGCUUUCAGCAAGUGAUUCUGUGAACAAUUAAAUACUGAAACUCUAACCAUGUCUGAGUAUGUGUUUUGUUGACCAAAAGACCUAGGAGCCACCAGCACAUCAAUUGCCUUUAUGUGCCCUCAGAGCUCUCAAAGGAAAGGUCAGCAAGGCAUGCAGUGUCUCAGAGCAGCCACCAUCAAUGUUUAUCCCUGUUUACAGGGAGGGAGAGAGAUACAGAUGGUACUGAAUCAAUAAUAGCAAUUAUGGGCCUUUGGAGGGUAACUCGCCAUUUAGGUCACUAACAAUAGAAGUUUAUUAAAAAUAAAAACAGAAGAAUUAAAUGGAAUCGACUUUUGUGGGGGGAAAAUUAGAGAAAAAUUAAAAGAAGGAAUUUGAUAUGAAGAGAACUGUUGCAGAUGCCUCAAACAGCAUGGUAGCUGGGUCUAUAACCUGCCUGCAGGAAUCAGAUAAGCUUCUUUUCUGCACACCCCAAUUCCUACACAUUAAAGGAAAAGCAGGAGCUUAGAAGUAUCUCUGUGACUGUGUUGAUAUAAGAUACGUUUCUGAAAGGAUUUGAUUCUGCUACCUCACUCCUCUUAUCAAAGCAGCUGGGUUCAUGCUUUUCCCUUUCUCCAAGAAGGAGUUUGCAGUGGAGAGUACCAGCCUCAUGGAGCAUCUCCCUUACAACUUCUUUCCCACUUCCUUUUCAGGAAACUACUUCAUUUCCCCAAACAGUGAAAAGCUGCUGACAUCCCCCAUGCAGAAGAAUUGUUAGGAGGGAAUUACAAUGGUGUUAAAACCUAGUUACCCAGGAGAGCUGCUCACCCAAAAGUCAUCUGGAAGCUGGGACCUCUUUGUAAGCAUUUGGAAACUGGGACUUGUUGCUUCUGUUUGAAUAUCUGAAGAGGAUGGACAAGAUUUCUAGUGAUUUCCUGUCUCUCCAUUUGUCCCUUUGUGUUCCUGUGAAACAGGACUUCUGUUUAUAUUGAUUUGCUUCUGAAAUGGUCACAUAAUAAGUGCAGUUUGAAUCUUUGUGUGUCACUAUCCAUAAUCCCAAACACAGGACCACUCAAACAUCUGAUAAAAGUGUUUUGUCUCCAUCCUCUGCCAAGAAGCAAGAAGUGAAUCACUUUCAUAUUCUUACAGUGUUGUCCGAUUUUUAUGGUUCUCGCAAUCUGCUCAAAGUUUAAGUUGGUUACUUUCAAAUGCACCCUAAAAAAGUUGAAACACUCUGCUUGCAGGAUGCAACUACUUCAAAUUUAUAGUCUGAGAUAAAAAGCCCUCUCCCACUGAGACCCUUCUAGAAGGUUAUUCAAAUUAGAGCCAGUGUAUUAAGAAUCUGUUACAUCUUUUACUAGUGAGUCACAACCUGUUCACUUGUGGGAAAAUGAGCUUGCCAGUCAACCAGGAGCUAACUUGCUGCCUUCCCAGUCUUUGUGAGGUGUCUCCUCUUUGCUUCCAGGUGGUUGUCAUGAUGGAUGCUGUUCAAUGCAGGAAAAGCAAUAAUUUAACACAUACUGUAAUGCAGCGCAGUAGCCCAGAGUAUGAUGAUAGUAGCUGGAAAAAAAUAUUUUAAAAUAGAAAAAAAAAUUCUGCAUAAAUUAGACAAAGAAUUAAGUUGGGGAUGCAGACAGUGCAAUUAAAUGCUCUUUCUUUGGUCUUAUAUUUUCUCCACAAAAUAAGUAGAGGCUGAGGAGAUGAAACAACCUGGAAUAAGUAACUGAUGGAGCAAUGUAGCAUAAAAGGGGCAGUAGUAAAUUGUCUUGAGAAACUCAGCAGUUUUUCCAACAAAAUCAAUUAAUCCCUGGGCUCCUAAUGUACAUACACAUAUACAUUUUAUAGAUGUGUUUUUUUAAGCUAUACACUUCCAUAAGCAUGAAUAUUAUAUUAAGGUUCUUUCUACAAAAAUUCUUACCUUCUAUUUGCUUCAUGUCAUUUCCAUCUCAGUAAAGGCAAUUGUUGAGAAUGCUAAGGCAAUCUAUGGGCACCUAUGGGCUCAUAAAUCUUAUGUGCUUAUACUAGAGAUGUAUCUUCUGUAUAUAUACUGUAUCAGGUGGCUUCUAUCAUCCAUCACUGUACAAUGUAUCUAUGGUAUAUAAAAAAAAAAAAAAAAAAGAGGUCUUGUACCAAAAUCUGAUCUUUGACAAAGCAGAGACCAGCCAGCCCUGUAGUGAUGGCAGCUGCUAGAUGGCUCAUUAUAGAGGGCAGAAUGGAGAUGUGGUUUGUGAAAAAACUGACACUUCCUCAAGUUUCUCCCCUCCUAUGGAUUUUUCAAUGUCCUCAGGAAAAGAAAUGGAAGCCUAAAAAAUUUAUCCAAUAGUUAUGCUUUCAGGAGAAGGCGAAAUUUCUAUAUUAAGGUCCCAGCUAUGGAUACUAGAUUAGAAAGCAGUUCAGACUGUUUUGAGUUAGCAAAGCAUUUCAGAUUGUUAAAAGUGAACAAUAGUUGACAGCAAUGAAUGUGCUUGGAGGAGGAAUAUUUCCAUUUUGGGAAGAAGACUCAGAAUGACACUGCAUUAGCAGCUCAGCUCAGGAUAAAGUUGUGAUUGUGCUUGCUUACUCUCCAGCUCAGGGAGGCAUGUACCCCAGCCACUAUUGCUCUCUCUAUCAGGACCAAACAAGACCUGCGCUGAUGUAAACCCCUGAAAUGCACAAACAGUGGGCACUGGGUCCUCAGCACUCCACAAACCUAUUCCUGCUGGGUUGCACUACUCAGUCAUGCAGCGGUAAAUGAUUGAGCUAGGUACUGAAUCAUCUUUAGGGUGUUUGGCUCCCAAGUCUCUGCCUGUUUCAGAUGGUGCUUGGGGCAAGCCUGGCCACCUGACUCAGGCUUCCCAAACCCAUCACUGAAAAUGGAGAAUGAAAAUACUCCUCUCUUCUUCUAUCUAUGUCUGAUUACAAAUGAGACUCCUAUAUGAUUGAGAAGUCCUUUCUCCAUUAAUUAACUAUAUUAUUUGACCAUGGUGAGUGGUUACACUGAAUCUUUAAACUUCUUACAAAUUCAUAAUAUAUGCAUUCUCUAUGCUUGACCAUUAAUUUAAAUACUCAUGCAAAGUCUAGGAUUACUCAAUGCUUUUCUCUUCUUCAUGAAGGCUUAUAAUGACCUUAAAAGCAUUAACUCAAUAUGAGGUCAAGGAAUUAUUUUAGCUGUGAAAUCAGUUGCUUAAUAACAGUUUCUUCAGAGUCAAGUAAUCAUGCAGGCUGUAAGGCUCAAGUAAUUAUUUCAUUUUUCUGCCUACAUAUUAAUGUAUUUAACAUAUCUGUACUCUGCACAAAUAGAGAAAUGAGUUAACAAGAGAUUUUCAGUACUUGGGUUUACAGUGUCCAAAACAUACAGAGAAGCAUGUAUCCGCAAAAAUAAACAGAUAUUUCUGUAACUACUUAAGAAAUCAAAUGCUGUUUGAAUGUCAAACAUCAGUAUAUCACCUCUUAUAUAGUGGAUUACAAGCAGGAUCUCACACUGUUUUAUCAUUACUUAUUAAUGUCUUGUCUUUCAUUAUAUCAUGAGUCAAUUAAACAAGUUUAUAGUUGCAGUAGACAAAAGCGAAUAGAUUUGGGUUUAAGCAUAAUUUUUAAUGGAUAAAAAAUUAGUAUGAUUCUAAGCUGUUUUUUUCAUGAUAAAAUAUUAAAUAUUUCAUAAACAAAAUAUUUGAUUUUGACAUCACUGUAAUGCUGUCUCUCUUUUUUAGUGUCAGAAAUAUCUAUCAAUUGAAAUACGACAUGGGCAAACUGUUUUAAAAAAUUGCAAAACUAACAGAGUGUGUUCCUGUCUCAUAAUAAACAAUUGUUGAAUGAUGUUUAUUAAAAUUGGCUCUCAAGUGACAGUAAAUAAGUGCAUAGUUCUAUUAUGCAUGCUAAAUUCAGCAUUCUGAAAACUUAAAAGCAAAUAGAUCAAAACCAACAGAGAUAAAAAAGUCACAAAGACAAAAUACAGCAACACCAGAAAGUGACAGGGAAAUAAUUCAGUCUUAAAAAUGACUUAUAAUUUGGUAACUUGUAACAACAAUUUUAUAGAACUAAAUUAGAGGUAAAUCAGAGUCUUUCAGAUGUUUUAGAUAUGCAAUUUCUCUAGUGCAUAUAGUUUGAUCAUACAGCAGAGAAAUUCACAUUAUGAAGUCCCCUUCAAAAAGGCAAAAAAUCCCAGUUUCCCUUUAUUUCUGAUUCCAAGUUAUGAAUACUCUUGGAACACAAAUGAAGGGAAAAAAAAAAAAAAAAAAAAAGAGGAAAAAAUGUUCAAUAAACUUCAACUAUUAAUAUAUUAUAAUUAAAAACCUUCAAUGUUUCUUCAGUAUUUGGAGAAAUUAGACUAUAUGUUCAUAUGUAUGUGUGUUUCCCAUAUACCCAGACCAUAUCUGUACUGAAUUGAAAAAAUAUUGGAUUUAAUGGGCUUUGUGUCCUUAACUGUAAUCACUCCAUUGGCUCUUUGAUGUUGCAUGGGUUUGGUAUGAUGACAAAAAGAGUUGCUUCAACCGUGUAUUUUCACCUCUCUUUCUGCAAGGUGAAGGGCAAAACUUUAAAUCAAGGAGCAGUUUAUCUUUAAUUAAGAAAAACAUAAUUAGGCAUUAUCACAUAAUUGCUAUUACUGAUGGAGAAACUCAUAUUUUCUCAACUAGUGACCCAUGCAGUAUUAUGUCUCUGCUGUUUACUGCAUAAUAAAUCUGUAUUUGUGUUUGGCAGCUAGCCAAAAAAAUUAAAAGGUAAUCAACAUGCUUCUCUGCAGUCUGGUCAUCAAAAUCUCUGACUUCACAGAUGAGUAAAUAACAAAGUCAAGUUGUGAUGUCCUAACAGAAAACCCUCUUUAGCAAUAACUAUAUUUAUCUCCUCUGUUAAGACAUCAAAUGAUACUUGAAACAACCAUAUACAAAAAGCUUUUCAAAACAGAUGAGAAGAACUGUGCUAUACACCUGGCAUUGAGUUAAAAAACAGUUUAAUGUCUCAAGGCACCACCACGGUAGAAUUUUAAACCUGCAAGUAAUCAUCUAAUACACUAUUAUACAGUUAAGGUAAUGUAUUAAUAAAUAGCUUGUGCAAUUUUGGGAAGCAAUCUAUAAAGGAAUGUUAGAUAUACAAUAGGCACGUACUAUAAUACAAAUAAAAAACAAAAUUCCUAGAAAAAGCAUGCUGAGCACCUCUCAGUAUAGGUUGAGUUUCUUAUUCUAAACACUAUGUAAAUCUUAACUUACAAAAGGUAAAA